GGAAUAAGGAAGAAUUGCAGUCCGCAGUGUUCACAGGACACAUUUAAAAGGAGAAGUUACACUGUACAUGGAGAACUUGAAACCUGAUAAACACUAAUUGGAUACAUUUGGAUCAGCGUGUGAGAAAACCAAACCGCCAUCAAAUCUUCACAGCUAGAUGAUCAAGAAAUAAAUUCUAAAAGUAUG